ACUGAACGCUGGCGGCAUGCCUUACACAUGCAAGUCGAACGGUAACAGGUUAAGCUGACGAGUGGCGAACGGGUGAGUAAUGUAUCGGAACGUGCCCAGUCGUGGGGGAUAACUGCUCGAAAGAGCAGCUAAUACCGCAUACGACCUGAGGGUGAAAGCGGGGGAUCGCAAGACCUCGCGCGAUCGGAGCGGCCGAUGUCAGAUUAGGUAGUUGGGGGGGUAAAGGCCUACCAAGCCUACGAUCUGUAGCUGGUAUGAGAGGACGACCAGCCAGACUGGGACUGAGACACGGCCCAGACUCCUACGGGAGGCAGCAGUGGGGAAUUUUGGACAAUGGACGCAAGUCUGAUCCAGCCAUGCCGCGUGCGGGAGGAAGGCCUUCGGGUUGUAAACCGCUUUUGUCAGGGAAGAAAAGGUUCUGGUUAAUACCUGGGACUCAUGACGGUACCUGAAGAAUAAGCACCGGCUAACUACGUGCCAGCUGCCGCCGUAAAAC
rnacentral:rRNA from 1 species